rnacentral:rRNA from 1 species
UACAGAGGGUGCGAGCGUUGUUCGGAAUUACUGGGCGUAAAGCGCGCGCAGGCGGCCUUUUAAGUCUGCUGGUGAAAUGCCGGGGCUCAACCCCGUGCCCGCCACAGAUACUGGGAGGCUGGAGACGAGUAGAGGCAAGCGGAAUUCCGGGUGUAGCGGUGGAAUGCGUAGAGAUCGGGAGGAACACCAAAGGCGAAAGCACUCUGCUGGGCCGCAACUGACACUGAGAGACGAAAGCGAGGGGAGCAAAUGGG